UCCUUAAAAAGUCUUAAAUUGCUUUUCCUAAAAAUAAGGCCUUAAAAAGUCUUAAAAAGUCUUAAAUUCAGAUUGGAUUGGUCUUAAAUUUUUUGGGUGUCAUGUCAUUACGAAUAUGAGUCAAUCUGUUCCGCCAGGUCCGUAUUUUGCUCCGGUCGCUCUGCGGUGUCUCUGGUGUCACCGGGGCCACGCCCCUUCUCUUAAAGGGGCCCCGCGUAUUCGGUCCCAUCAAUCCCCUACAACGUGAAGCAUCGGCUAGUUUAGAAAACAUGUGGGGGAUGCAAGUUCAACAACGGCUUGAAAAGAACGAGUGUUUCUGGUCACGGUGGGUGAAAUGCUUCUGAAGCUGCGUUAUGUGUCGGGAGACUUUCCAGCGGUGGAAUCUCACGAGCAGAGCAAGAAGCACAGAGACUAGCGAAGGCCGCCAGCAGCCUGCGGGGCUAGCUCCUGCUCUGCCGCGAGCUCCUGCUCCGCCGCUCGCAACGACGUCAACGCUACAACGAUGGAGGUCACCGGAGGAAAUCCAGCGCCGUGAAACGAAGAGCUCAUCACCAAAGUCCAACAGGGCGCCGUGUUCUUCAUUCUGUUCCACGAGACUCUGGACCAGACCACCGCGAGCAGACAGCUGGACUUCAUGUUCGCUCUUGGUGAAAUGACCACGUCCCGUCAGGAUCCUGUGGAGCUCAUGGGCCAUGACACCAGGACCUACUUCAGCACCUCAAAGAGAAUGGACCAAAUGUCAACUGGAAGUUUUUAUAUUAAUACAGUUUGAAAAGGAUUGUUUUCCUAGUAUAUUCACAAAAGCUCAGGAGUAGACGUAUGAACCUGUGACAAACAUCCAUCACAUAGAGACAUAAGAACACACACACACAUACAUUCUAUUAUGUAAAUGAAUUUGCAUUUUAAAAGCAGCUGGAAUUGUUAUUUGUUUUAUAGAUUGUUUUUGUUCAAAAGGAACUAUGUUGUCUGUAUUUUUUAAAUAUAUUUACUUGAUAUAAGCAUUUGUUCAUGGGACUUAAAUGUUCUGAAAAUGUAUUAAUAAAUAUAAUUUACAACAGCAA